rnacentral:rRNA from 1 species
UCGACUGUUUAUCAAAAACAUAUUUAAUAGUAAUAAUUAUUAAUGUAACCUGCUCAAUGAAAAUUAAAUAGCCGCAGUUCAUACUGUGCUAAGGUAGCAUAAUCAUUUGUCUUUUAAUUUAAGACUAGAAUGAAAGGUUAAACAUUUAAAUUAUUCUAAUAAAUUUAAAUUUUUAAUUUAUUUAAAAUGUAAAAAAACAUUUAUUUUUAAGAAAGACGACAAGACCCUAUCGAACUUAACUUAAGUUUAACUGGGGCAGUUAAUUAAUAAUAAUUUUAAUUUAUAAUAAAUUAUAAAUGACCCAAUCAAAUUGAUUUAAUGAUCAAGUUACCGUAGGGAUAACAGCGUAAUAAUUUUCUAUAGAUCUUAUAUAAAAAAUAGAUUGCGACCUCGAUGUUGAAUUAAUUAUUCUAUAUAAUGCAACCAUUAUAUAAGAAAGUCUGUUCGACUUUUAAAUAAUUACAUGAUUUGAGUUCAGACCGGUGUAAACCAGGUCGGUUUCUAUCUU